GAGAGAGCAGCGAUGUUCACGGCAACUGAGCAGCAAUUACUUCUCGAAUCUUACGAAGAAUUUAAACACAUGAUUACAAAAAAGGAAAUACCGCAGCAAUUAAUAAAACGAGAGAAAAAGGCUGGCAGGAAAUUGCUGAUCGUCUCAAUGCCAGCAAAUUAAGUGAAGAAAAAAGAACAUGGCAGCAGGUGAAAAUAAAAUAUAAAAAUAUUGUUCAGAAUGCUGCCAAAAAGAAGAGUGAGGUUGCUGGCACUGGGGAGGGC